CAUUAGAUUACUAAAAAUUAGUACUGGUCUCUUAAACCAUUUCAUAAUAGAUUAAUGCCUAUUUCUAAUGA
rnacentral:tRNA from 1 species